GCUCCCGUGGUGUAGUCCGGUCUGAAGAAAAUCCACAAUAUGGGGUUGUUCUUUAGGGAUAACCAAUCAUUUCGGAUUUUCGAUCCGAAGACCUGGGUUCAAAUCCCGGCGGGAGCA
rnacentral:tRNA from 1 species